CCUGGCUCAGGAUGAACGCUAGCGAUAGGCUUAACACAUGCAAGUCGAGGGGCAGCAUAAAGGUAGCAAUACUUUGGUGGCGACCGGCGCACGGGUGAGUAACGCGUAUGCAACCUACCUACUACUGGGGAAUAACCCGGCGAAAGUCGGACUAAUACCGCAUAAAACAGGGGCACCGCAUGGUGAUAUUUGUUAAAGAUUUAUUGGUAGUAGAUGGGCAUGCGUUCCAUUAGCUAGUUGGCGGGGUAACGGCCCACCAAGGCAACGAUGGAUAGGGGUUCUGAGAGGAAGGUCCCCCACACUGGUACUGAGACACGGACCAGACUCCUACGGGAGGCAGCAGUGAGGAAUAUUGGUCAAUGGGCGAGAGCCUGAACCAGCCAAAUCGCGUGCAGGAAGACGGCCCUACGGGUUGUAAACUGCUUUUAUAUGGGAAUAAUGAUCACUACGUGUAGUGAGAGAGAAUGUACCAUAGGAAUAAGCAUCGGCUAACUCCGUGCCAGCAGCCGCGGUAAUACGGAGGAUGCGAGCGUUAUCCGGAUUUAUUGGGUUUAAAGGGUGCGUAGGUGGCCUUAUAAGUCAGCGGUGAAAGUUUGUCGCUUAACGAUAAAAUUGCCGUUGAAACUGUUAGGCUUGAGUGUAAAUGAAGUAGGCGGAAUGCGUAGUGUAGCGGUGAAAUGCAUAGAGAUUACGCAGAACUCCAAUUGCGAAGGCAGCUUACUAAGCUACAACUGACACUGAAGCACGAAAGCGUGGGUAUCAAACAGGAUUAGAUACCCUGGUAGUCCACGCUGUAAACGAUGAUUACUAGGAGUUUGCGAUAUACCGUAAGUUCUACAGCGAAAGCGUUAAGUAAUCCACCUGGGGAGUACGCCGGCAACGGUGAAACUCAAAGGAAUUGAC
rnacentral:rRNA from 1 species